rnacentral:misc_RNA from 1 species
GAUGAAGAACGCAGCGAAAUGCGAUAAGUAAUGUGAAUUGCAGAAUUCAGUGAAUCAUCGAGUCUUUGAACGCACAUUGCGCCCCCUGGUAUUCCGGGGGGCAUGCCUGUCCGAGCGUCAUUGCUGCCCUCAAGCACGGCUUGUGUGUUGGGCCCCCGUCCCCGGUUUCCCCCGGGGACGGGCCCGAAAGGCAGCGGCGGCACCGCGUCCGGUCCUCGAGCGUAUUGGGCUUUGUCACCCGCUCUGUAGGCCCGGCCGGCGCCAGCCGACACCCAACUUUAUUUCUAAGGUUGACCUCGGAUCAGGUAGGGAUACCCGCUGAACUUAAGCAUAUCAAUAAGCGGAGGA